rnacentral:tRNA from 1 species
CUUCGAGUAGCUCAGUGGAUAGAGCACCGGGUUGCGAACCCGGAGAUCGCUGGUUCGAGUCCAGCCUUGAAGA